UGUGUGGAACCAGGAUCAAUUAAUGCAUAAACAUAUUUGCCAAAGAUAGAAAAUUUAUCAGCUAUAACAUCUGGUUUGUCCUAGUCUUCCCUUGCACGAAUAGCAUAUGCCCUGGCAGGUGCUCUAGUGUCUGGUCUAUCUACUGUCUCUGAUACUCUGUGACUCUGAGCACUGCUAGAUUCACCUCUACCUCUACCUCUGCCUCUAGACCCUGUCGGCAAAGAUCUCUCUGUCUGUAUAGGCUGCACUGACUGGCCUCUAGGACAAUCCCUCAUAAAGUGGUAUGAGCUUCCACAUAAGUAGCAAGCCCCAGUCAAUCUCCUACAUACUCCACCAUGUCUCCUGCCACAAUGCUCACAUACUGGUGGCAACCCUCUGCC
rnacentral:lncRNA from 1 species